UACGGGGGGGGCAAGCGUUGUUCGGAAUUACUGGGCGUAAAGGGUUUGUAGGUGGCUUGUUAAGUCAGACGUGAAAUCCCUCAGCUUAACUGGGGAACUGCGUCUGAUACUGGAUGGCUUGAGUUUGGGAGAGGGAUGCGGAAUUCCAGGUGUAGCGGUGAAAUGCGUAGAUAUCUGGAGGAACACCGGUGGCGAAGGCGGCGACCUGGAUAGGUACUGACACUCAACUGCGAAAGCGUGGGGAGCAAACAGG
rnacentral:rRNA from 1 species